rnacentral:lncRNA from 1 species
GAAGUUAGGGUUAGGAGAACAAGAUAUUUGUAUCCUAUCUAAACGGUUGAGUGUUUCCUGUGAGGUUCUGGGUGUUCCUCUUUACAACCCGCAUUUGCUCUUCAAAGGCACUGGCAGUUUGAAGAAACAGGAUAUAGCUGUUUGGAAAUAAAUCCACCUUACGGUGUCUCUCUGAGUAGGAGUUCUGCAUAGCAGAGAAACUCACUGAUGCUUGGUAUAGCCCAGGGACAGGGGAACACGUGUCUAAUAACUGAGGGAACUCUGUCUGGGUUGUGUAGUCUUGUGCACAUUCGUUCCAUUGUCUUUGCUAAGCCCAGAGGCCAUGUCGUGUUCCUUUUCCAGUAAUUUCAUAACUUUACACAGGUUUUCAGUAUACUAUAUGCUGACUGCCUGAUAGACUGUGGUAGGGUCCCUAUGCUGACUAACCGACAGGCUCUGC